rnacentral:rRNA from 1 species
UCCUACGGGAGGCAGCAGUAGGGAAUCUUCCGCAAUGGACGAAAGUCUGACGGAGCAACGCCGCGUGAGUGAUGAAGGCUUUCGGGUCGUAAAACUCUGUUGUUAGGGAAGAACAAGUGCUAGUUGAAUAAGCUGGCACCUUGACGGUACCUAACCAGAAAGCCACGGCUAACUACGUGCCAGCGGCCGCGGUAAUACGUAGGUGGCAAGCGUUAUCCGGAAUUAUUGGGCGUAAAGCGCGCGCAGGUGGUUUCUUAAGUCUGAUGUGAAAGCCCACGGCUCAACCGUGGAGGGUCAUUGGAAACUGGGAGACUUGAGUGCAGAAGAGGAAAGUGGAAUUCCAUGUGUAGCGGUGAAAUGCGUAGAGAUAUGGAGGAACACCAGUGGCGAAGGCGACUUUCUGGUCUGUAACUGACACUGAGGCGCGAAAGCGUGGGGAGCAAACAGGAUUAGAUACCCUGGUAGUCCACGCCGUAAACGAUGAGUGCUAAGUGUUAGAGGGUUUCCGCCCUUUAGUGCUGAAGUUAACGCAUUAAGCACUCCGCCUGGGGAGUACGGCCGCAAGGCUGAAACUCAAAUGAAUUGACGGA